GAUACCCUAUUAUUGGAAAUGUGAUUUUUUGCUAUAAUUAUUAUUAGUUAAGUUCUUUAAAGUUAAAAAAUUUGGCGGUAUUUUAGUCUUUUCAGAGGAACCUGUUGUGUAAUUGAUAGUCCACGAUUAUUUUUACUUUGAUUUUAAAUUUAUAUAUCGUCGUUGAUAAAAAUUCUGGGAGGAUUAGAAUUUUUGUGAUAUUUUAUUUUAUAGAAUUUCAGAUCAAGGUGUAGUUUAUGUUAAAGAAUUAAUGGGUUACAUUAUAUUUAUAUGUGGUUUAAUGUUUUAAAAGUGUUAAUAAAAUGGAUUUGAUAGUAAAUUUUUAAUUUUUGAUAAUUGAUUUAGCUCUAAAAUAUGUACACAUCGCC
rnacentral:rRNA from 1 species